rnacentral:rRNA from 1 species
UUAUCCUACGGGAGGCAGCAGUGGGGAAUCUUGCACAAUGGGCGAAAGCCUGAUGCAGCAGCGCCGCGUGAGCGAAGAAGGCCGUUGGGUCGUAAAGCUCUGUCCUAAGGGGAGAAGGAAGUGACGGUACCUUAGGAGGAAGCCCCGGCUAACUACGUGCCAGCAGCCGCGGUAAUACGUAGGGGGCAAGCGUUAUCCGGAAUUAUUGGGCGUAAAGAGUACGUAGGCGGUUCUUUAAGCGCAGGGGUUAAGGCGAAAGCUUUACUAUCGUUUGCCCUGCGAACUGGGGG